rnacentral:rRNA from 2 species
UGGGGAAUAUUGCGCAAUGGGGGAAACCCUGACGCAGCGACGCCGCGUGAAGGAAGAAGGCUUUCGGGUUGUAAACUUCUUUGAUCGGGGACGAAGAUGACGGUACCCGAGGAACAAGCCACGGCUAACUACGUGCCAGCAGCCGCGGUAAUACGUAGGUGGCGAGCGUUGUCCGGAAUUACUGGGUGUAAAGGGCGUGUAGGCGGGGCGGCAAGUCAGAUGUGAAAUACCUCGGCUUAACUGGGGUGCUGCAUCUGAAACUGUCGUUCUUGAGUGUCGGAGAGGAAAGUGGAAUUCCCAGUGUAGCGGUGAAAUGCGUAGAGAUUGGGAGGAACACCAGUGGCGAAGGCGGCUUUCUGGACGAUAACUGACGCUGAGGCGCGAAAGCGUGGGUAGCAAACAGG